rnacentral:rRNA from 1 species
UACGGAGGGUGCGAGCGUUGUUCGGAAUUACUGGGCGUAAAGCGCGCGUAGGCGGUUUGCUUAGUCAGAUGUGAAAGCCCUCGGCUUAACCGGGGACGUGCAUUUGAAACUGGCAGACUUGAGUACUGGAGGGGGUGGUGGAAUUCCCGGUGUAGAGGUGAAAUUCGUAGAUAUCGGGAGGAAUACCGGUGGCGAAGGCGACCACCUGGCCAGAUACUGACGCUGAGGUGCGAAAGCGUGGGGAGCAAACAGG